CUCUGUCAUGUCUAGCUCCUCAGAUUUGAUGCCGUCGGGAAGCUCCCAAUCAAAGUGGUAAAGAAGGCUAGCAAGAGCAAGCUCCAUAUUAGCUAAACCUAGCGCUAUACCAGGACACAUCCUCCGCCCAGCUCCAAACGGGAUGAACUCAAAGUCCGCCCCUCUAAAAUCAACUGUACUAUUCUCAAAUCUCUCUGGCCUAAAUAUCUCGCCAUCGCCCCAAUAUUCGCCUUCCCUGCCUAUCUUCCACACGUUGACAAAGACCUUGGUGCCCUUUGGCACAUCAUAGCCCAUGACCUGGCACGUCUCGCGGCACUCCCUGGGGAUCAGGAGUGGCGCUGGCGGGUGUAGCCGUAGGGUCUCCUUGAUCACCAGCUGCAGGUAGCUCAGCUUGGCGACAUCAUCCUCGGUUAGCUUGUCUUGUCCCUUGAACGUCUCCCUCACCUCUGAUUGCGCCUUCCGCAAGAUCCGCGGGUUCUUCAUCAGCUCCGACAUGGUCCAGUCUAGCGUCGUCGACGACGUCUCGCUCCCGGCCGAGAAGAUGUCCUG
rnacentral:sRNA from 1 species